AUUGAACGCUGGCGGCAGGCCUAACACAUGCAAGUCGCACGAGUGGCGGAAGGGUGAGUAAUGGCUGGGCAAGUGCCUGAUGGAGGGGGCUAACUACUGGAAACGGUAGCUAAGACAGCAUAAGAACGGAUGGGCACUGAUGGGAUUAGCUAGUAGGUGGGGUAAAGGCUCACAUAGGGGACGAGCCCUAGCUGGUCUGAGAGGAUGAGCAGCCACACUGGAACUGAGACACGGUCCAGACUCCUACGGGAGGCAGCAGUGGGGAAUAUUGCACAAUGGGCGCAAGCCUGAUGCAGCCAUGCCGCGUGUAUGAAGAAGGCCUUCGGGUUGUAAAGUACUUUCAGCGGGGAGGCGUUACCCGCAGAAGAAGCACCGGCUAACUCCGUGCCAGCAGCCGCGGUAAUAC
rnacentral:rRNA from 1 species